AUUGAACGCUGGCGGCAGGCUUAACACAUGCAAGUCGAGCGGAGUGAUGGUGCUUGCACUAUCACUUUGCGGCGGACGGGUGAGUAAUGCUUAGGAAUCCGCCUAUUAGUGGGGGACAACAUCUCGAAAGGGAUGCUAAUACCGCAUACGUCCUACGGGAGAAAGCAGGGGAUCACUUGUGACCUUGCGCUAAUAGAUGAGCCUAAGUCGGAUUAGCUAGUUGGUGGGGUAAAGGCCUACCAAGGCGACGAUCUGUAGCGGGUCUGAGAGGAUGAUCCGCCACACUGGGACUGAGACACGGCCCAGACUCCUACGGGAGGCAGCAGUGGGGAAUAUUGGACAAUGGGGGGAACCCUGAUCCAGCCAUGCCGCGUGUGUGAAGAAGGCCUUAUGGUUGUAAAGCACUUUAAGCGAGGAGGAGGCUCUUUUGGUUAAUACCCAAGAUGAGUGGACGUUACUCGCAGAAUAAGCACCGGCUAACUCUGUGCCAGCCGCCGCGGUAA
rnacentral:rRNA from 1 species